AAUGAUACUGAUCAAUGCAAAAGGUGAAGUCAUCACAGCGAGAUCAAAGGUUGAAACGCUUGUGGUAUAAUUGCUUAAGGAUUGGUAGCUGAUUCAGGUUUGGUGUCUUUGGAAGGGAAUGUGGACUUUGGUAACUCAGGCAAGUGGGGAAAAGUUGGCAGUUCAGGUUUUGGCAACUCAGGCAAGUGGGGAAAAGCUGGCAGUUCAGGCUUUGGAAACUCAGGCAAUUCAGGUUUUGGCAGCGUGGGAAUUUCAGGCUUCGACAACUCAGGCAAUUCAGGUAAUUUUGGCAGAGUGGGAAGUUCAGGUUUAGGAAAGGUUGGGACUUCAGGUAAUGGUGGAAGCUCAACCUUAGGAAGUAAUGGCAAGUCAGGCAAUUCAGGCUUAGGAAGCUCCGGGACCUCAGGUAAUGUUGUCUCUAGAAGCUGUCGUGCUUCUGCAGAGAUUGACAGAGCAACGAGUGAGAGCAGAACAAUGAGUGAAGGGGAGCGAAGAUUGGCCAUAACUAUGCAACAAGAUCAAUCAGCUGUAAAUACAAUUUAUCCUCACUUUUGUUUUGUGUGUGUUGAUGUUCACUUGUGUUGAGCUUUUAUAGAAGUGGGAAGUGAAGAAUGGGGAACUUCCAAAGGUGAUUUAGUGGGAAAAGUUGUGUUAGCUCAACUUCCCACCCAUAAGACUCCCACUGUUGGCAUGACCAACUAUAGACUUCCUUACAAGUGUAACCUUGCUAUCUUUCUAUAUGGAGUCCAGAGAUUGGUUAGAUUGAUAAUAAGCUAAAAUAUGGUUCUCACUUGUAAUCAUUCUCAGAAAUCAGAACACUUGUGAAGUUCAAGCUUUUUCACCUAUUUAAUAAUUCACUUCUUUCCUGUUCUACCUACAAAAGAUGAGAUUCUGAAGAAUGGUUCUUCUUUAGUUACUUUAAAAUAAUGUUCAACGAAGAUAGCCUCAUCUGCAAAGUUGGCCAACCUACACACUAAACUUUGACAUGUCUUUCUUUUUAUUGAAGCUCUGACUGAUCUUCACAUCACAUCCAAUUAUCCACAAGGUACUCUUCUAUUUGAAAUUAAGAAUUUUAUUAAAAAUUAAUUCAAUUGAUUUCUUUUAUAUCAAUCUCUUGGUUGGAAUGAGAUUCAAUUUUUUUGACUUAUAAAAUUUUCAUAUUAAAAAAAUUGAAACCAUGUGUAUUCUUGUAAGAAUUUAUUUAUAUUCUUUUUUUUUUCAAACUGAAUCAUUGCAAACAAAAGGACUAUAUAAGGUAGUAUAUAUGAUUCUCAGUUGUAAUUAUAACAGUUCAAAAUAUGUCUAAUCACAUUAGUUUCGGUAGAUCUUCAACAAACUGAAAAUUACUAAUGUUUACAACGGAAUCUGUCUCAGCAAUAUGUAAUCUCCAUAUGCUUUUUUAGUUUUCAGAAACCUUGUAAUUUUUACAGAAUAAAGGAAUUUUACCAUUACGGGUGUAACAUCUAGUUAAACUCCGAUGUCGGAAUCUCAACGUUCUGACGGAAUCUCCGUCGAGAUCCAGAAUCUCGAAGCUAAAAUUUUUAGAAGGAUAAAAUAGAGUUUUCAUAAAAUGAAUUAAAAAUUUUUCUUGGUGUGUUUUAAAAAAAAAUAAAAAAUUUAGAGGAGUUUUAAAGUUCGGCCGCCGAAGACGGCUCUUCCAGCCACUUAUAAAAGGCCUUCAACCCAAAAAUAUGAGAACUCUUUCUCUAUUUUCGAGCAGAGGUAAGUCCAUGCCCUUUUCCAGACAUUCUUGCUAAAAUUACUUCAAAUCUCUUGGAGAAUACAUGAGUUUUUACUUCAUUUUUUAAGAUUUGAGUUUGGAUUUCAAGCUUUAAACUUUGGAGACCUCCGAAAAUCGAUUUCCCAAUUCUCCAAAUCUUGGUUGUUGUGUUUUCUAUGUUUUUCAAGAGGUAAGUUCAAUCUUUGCUUUUCUUAUGCUUUUUGAAGGUUUUAAACCGAUAUUAUAAGUUGUUAGGACAUGCAUGAUUGAUUAUUCUAAAGUUUUAAAGUUUGAGUUAGUUUUGAUGAUGGAUGAUUUUCUCCUGGGAUUUUGUUGAUGCAUGUUGAGUUUAGAACAGUUUUUGAGGUCUCUUAUGCGUGUUAAGUGUGUAUGGUAGUCUUUAGCCUGUUGCAUGUAAGUUUGGGUUUGUUUAUUGGCUAUGAGCAUAGGGCAAAAUCAGGUUCUGCCUUACUGGAGAUCCUAGGUUCAGCCGCUGAAGCAAGGUUCGGCCACCAAAUCUGUCUGUAGAGGCAGCCAUUUGGCCACCUAACCUGCCGCUGAAAGUCCUCUGUUCAGCCUUUUUCAGCUUGUUUCCUACGUGUGUUCUUGUAUGUUCUUAGGGGUUUUCUUGAGGGUAGUUUAAGUAUUGUAAUAGUUAUGUUUGGUUCCUCAUUUAAAUCCAUCUAUGUAGGAUCGGACUUUGGAGACUGUAGAGGCUUGCAGUGAGAUAACUGCUUCAGUACUAGGCGUGCAUCAGUCAAAGGUGAGUAGAACUGAACUGAUAUAUUAUUUUAAAGAAAUCAAACUUUUUAAGCAUACUCAUACAUCACGAAUGUCAUGUAUAUACGAUUAGGUUGUUUUGCAUUAGAGUUCACGAAUAUAAUACAUUGCAUAAAUUAUUGUUGUUGUGGAUGGACGUUGGAUGACCCACUAGCCCUCGAGUAUGUUAUGAUAUGUUAUGAUGGAUAUGGAAAGACUAGGGUUGCCUAUUCUACGCCUCUGGCACUAUGUAAGGGAAAGACCAGGGCUGCCCAUUCUAUGCCCCUUGCACUAUGGAUAUGUUAUGUUAUAUUUAAGAGGAAAACCUGAGGAGCACUCGUCGUGGGCCGAGCACUAUUGAAAUCUGUAGAGGGUUACUGAUGACAAGUCCAUUUUGAUGUAAAUUGUUUGUGCUGUGAUGCAUUCAUACAAUCAUAUAUUUUAUUGAACUGUUUUUUUAUGUUCUGCUCACUAGACUCUUAUAGUUUAUCCCCUUUCCCCUAAUCCCAGGUUUGCAGGAUCAAAGUUAGCUCGGGAAGUCGGCUGAGUUGCUGGUAUAGCCUAUUGUAAUAGUAUAGCUAUGGAAAUAUAUUCAUUUGUGGAUUAGAAUUGUGCUUUGCCCGGGUUCUUCCUUGUAAUCCUUGUUUCAUGAUCAUUUUAUAUAAAAGUUUUUAAGUAUAAGUUUAUGUUUAAAUCGAGCUUGAGGCAUGUUAUGUCACACCCAUUCUCAAAACUGUGGAGAUGGAUAUGACCCGAAAAACUGACAGAACUUCCCCUGUUGUUAAUACAUAUAACUCAUAUGACCUGCUAUAAUUUCAAAAUAUAAAACAUAUAAGAGAUGAUUGAUAGCUAGACUGGUCAAUACAUAAUAUAUUUACAAUAAACAAAACACGUUCAUCAUUUGAAUUUACAAUCUAUACAUAAUCUGUCAAAAUUACAAAAAGAAAAGACAAGACCUAGGAUUGGUCCGACCUCCUCUAGACUCUGAGUGGACGAUGUGGAAGGAAUAACAAACUAGGAGAUGAGGACUGCUGAGCGGAUCACCAAAAAAAAACUGAAUAUUAAAAGAAAUAAGAGUGAGUACAACAUAUUCAGUGAGUGGAUAAAUAAAUAACAAAGGGGAAAAGAUAAGUUUAGGUAAUUAAUAGUACCAAAUAUUUAGCUAAAAUAAGUCAGCUGAAUAAAUACAAUUUAAUUCCUAGGCCUGGGCCUUAUAUGUUAUGUUGACCAUACCGAAGCAUUUGAUGAGGGCUCUAGUAUAGGUUUUAUGUUUUCAGUUACGAUGCAUGCACAAGUCGAGUCUUGGUUCAUGUAAUAAUUAUAUUUUUGUUGUUUGUAUGAUCAUGCAUGGAAUUAUAUCAUAUGUAAUAGGAUGUAUAGUAUGCUUGCUGUGGGCUCCAGUGACCUUAAGUCGAUUUGAACCCUAGCACCGGUAGUGGUCUGGUUCCCGGGUCGUUACAGAGUGGUAUCAAAGCCCUAGAUUCAUAUGACUGGGCCUAGAGUGUUGGGCUCAUAGAUGUUAUAGAGGGCAAAUACAAUUAGGAAAUAUUAUAUCCACUAGGAUAGAAUGUAGAGUCUUGUCAUGAUAUAUGUGAUAACCUCCAGAUCUUUCCUAGCCCAGGAAUAAGGUCGGGUCCAAAAGAAGGCACAGGUCCAAAGCCCAUCAGAUCAUACGCUCGAGAGGCGGCUCGACUUCACGAGCCUGGGCCGGCAACCCAGGAUGAUCCGGAUCAGAUAUGAGCACAAGCCCCAUAAGGGAGUAGGCCCAAUCACUCACCAGCUCUACCCGCAUGCUCUCUGGAGAGCAUUAAAUGGCCGUUACGCAUGGAGCAGGUGCCUGACACGCCCGUAUGUACGGGCCUGAGUGACAAGGACAGGAAGCACUAUAUAUCGGGGGGUCUCCUCUUGCAAGGGGGAUCUUCUUCUUUUUCUUCUCCUGCCUGGACUCCAUUUUUAUUUUCUCUGCAACUCUUGCCUAGAUAUACUACUCUUAUUCAUGAAACCUGACUUGAACGUCGGAGGGUCUCCGCUGGGGCAUCCCGGUGGACCCUUGACCAUUUUUCCUUAUUUUGCAGGUCCCUUUCUCAGAUAGAACAUGGAGAGACCCAUUUGACAGAUUCGUCUGGGAGCCCAAGAAGGAAUCAGAUCCACAUAAGAGGGGGCGAGGGAGGACCAGAUCUAACAAAUAUGGAGCCCAGGGAGAUUUAAAGUUAUCAAUAUGUAUAAUGAUGUAUAAUGUCAUGACUAUAUACAUGUGCAUUGAUGAUAUGAUAGGUAUGAUGUGGGUUCAUGUGUAUCCACAUGAACCAUAUGAUGCUAAUGCCUAUAUGUUUAAAUGAUUUUUCAGAAGACAGAAUGCAUGGCUUAUGUCGAUCUGUACGAUUGACUAGAGUCCCAUCCGAAAAAUGAGGGUAUAGACGCCCUUCCUCCUGCUGCUCCGUCAAGAGUGCGGUCAAGUAGAAAUAACAAGAAUGAAAAGUCAAGAGACCCUAUAAUGUCUUUUAAUAUAAACAAAAAGAGAACAGAUCCGAGUAGGAUGUUUGCAGAUGCCAGAAAAACAGUAGGAAAUGAUUAGAGGAGAGAUAGAAGUUUGGGUAUGAGUUUUGAAGUAGAGGGUGUGGGAGAGUCUGAAAGAGGAACAGAAGGCGUCAGACCAUAGGAUCCGCCUAUCCACCUCAGUACCAACCCUAUGCACAGGAACUCGGGUAUCCGAUGGAAAGUACAACAGAUUACUCUAGCUACCACCCAUACCCCUCAUUCAUACCCUAUCCUCCUUGCUAUUCAUUAUAUCCACCCUACCCUAUCUUAUGUUUUCGCCUCCUCCCCAUUACUAGAAUUUGGCAAACUCUAACUCAGGAAAUGUUGCACCACCUCCUCCUCCAGCAAAACCAGCUAGAAAAAAGUUUUUAUACCCAGAUAGAAAAAAGUUUUUUCUUCAAACUAUAUCAUUCAUUUUAUUUUAUUUACAAUUUUAAUUAAAUCAGUUUUUGAUAAUUUUUCAAAAAAUUAAAUUUGAAAUAAAACAGAUAUUUUUUUUAAAAAUUUUAGGACAUUAAUAAUUUUUAACUUUGAUUAGCAAUUUAUAAUAUUAAACAUUAUACUUUUUAAUUAACAACAAUUCCAUUUAAUUUUCUAAGUUCAGUAAUUCUCUUUAUGGCCCUGAACUAUUUAAUAAGAUUGAUGAGGGUCAUAGCAAAAACCAAAUAAAUAAACUGGAUCAAUUUUGUAUAUAGAAUAUAAACAUACAACGUACAUCAUACAAAAGCUGAAACAAAAAUAUUAUAGGACUAAAACUCACUUCAAAUUUAAGCAUGCAUAUAUAUAACAUAUGAAUCAGACACUUAAGAACACAUAAAUGAUACUGAUCAAUGCAAAAGCUGAAGUCAUCACAGCGAGAUCAAACGUUGAAACCCUUGUGGUAUAAUUGCUUAAGGAUUGGUAGCUGAUUCAGGUUUGGUGUCUUUGGAAGGGAAUGUGGACUUUGGUAACUCAGGCAAGUGGGGAAAAGUUGGCAGUUCAGGUUUUGGCAACUCAGGCAAGUGGGGAAAAGCUGGCAGUUCAGGCUUUGGAAACUCAGGCAAUUCAGGUUUUGGCAGCGUGGGAAUUUCAGGCUUCGACAACUCAGGCAAUUCAGGUAAUUUUGGCAGAGUGGGAAGUUCAGGUUUAGGAAAGGUUGGGACUUCAGGUAAUGGUGGAAGCUCAACCUUAGGAAGUAAUGGCAAGUCAGGUAAUUCAGGCUUGGGAAGCUCCGGGACCUCAGGUAAUGUUGUCUCUAGAAGCUGCCGUGCUUCUGCAGAGAUUGACAGAGCAACGAGUGAGAGCAGAACAAUGAGUGAAGGGGAGCGAAGAUUGGCCAUAAUUAUGCAACAAGAUCAAUCAGCUGUAAAUAAAAUUUAUCCUCACUUUGUUUUGUGUGUGUUGAUGUUCACUUGUGUUGAGCUUUUAUAGAAGUGGGAAGUGAAGAAUGGGGAACUUACAAAGGUGAUUUAGUGGGAAAAGUUGUGUUAGCUCAACUUCCCACCCAUAAGACUCCCACUGUUGGCAUGACCAACUAUAGACUUCCUUACAAAUGUAACCUUGCUAUCUUUCUAUAUGGAGUCCAGAGAUUGGUUAGAUUGAUAAUAAGCUAAGAUAUGGUUCUCACUUGUAAUCAUUCUCAGAAAUCAGAACACUUGUGAAGUUCAAGAUUUUUCACCUAUUUAAUAAUUCACCUCUUUCUUGUUCUACCUACAAAAGAUGAGAAUCUGAAGAAUGGUUCUUCUUUAGUUACUUUAAAAUAAUGUUCAAUGAAGAUAGCCUCAUCUUCAAAGUUGGCCAACCUACACACUAAACUUUGACAUGUCUUUCUUUUCGUUGAAGCUCUGACUGAUCUUCACAUCCAAUUAUUCAAGUUAAUCUUCUAUUUGAAAUUAAGAAUUUUACUAAAAAUUAAUCCAAUUGAUUUCUUUUAUAUAGAUCUCUUGGUUGGAAUGAUAUUCAAUUUUUUUUUAACUUAUAAAAUUUUUAUAUUAAAAAAAUUAAAACUAUGUGUAAUCUUGUUAGAAUUUAUUUGUAUUAUUUUCUUUCAAACUGAAUCAUUGCAAACACAAGGACUAUAUGAGAGAGUAUAUAUAAAUCUCAGUUGUAAUUAUAACAGUUUAGAAUAUGUCUAAUCACAUUAGUUUUGGUAUAUCUUGAACAAACCGAAAAUUACUAAUGUUUAUAACGGAAUCUGUCUCAACAACAUCUAAUCUCGAUAUGCUUUUCCAAUUAAUCUCGAUAUGCUUUUCCAAUUUUCAGAAGCCUUAUAACUUUUACAGAAUAAAAGAAUUUUACCACGGAGAGUUCAUUUAAUCUUUGAUUUGAUUUGAGUAAAAAUAAAUAAAUUGAAUUAAAUCAAACCAAAUUUUGAAGAGUUCAAACUUAUUUUUUAAAUUUUUUUUAAGUUUGAGUUUCAUUUUGAACUUGAGCCAAGUAUUAAUAAGCUUAAAUUUGGCUCAUUUAGCAAACGAAUUUAGAUAAAUCGAAUUUUUAUCGAGUUUAGUUUUGAAUAAUUUACGAAAAGUUCAAUUUAUUUACAUAUAUAUAUAUAAUAAGAUUUAGUUGAAAACUAAUACGUUUAAAACUAAAUAAUUUUAGUUAAAUAAGUAUAUAUAUAAAUUAGCUUUUAAAAUUAUAAAGGAUGAGUUUUUAAAUUUUAAUGAUUCAAAUAUCUAUAAAUUUUAAAAGUAUAAUUAAACUAUGCAAGUUGAACUUUAAAAAACUUAGAUCUGAUUCAUGAAAAUAUAUACAAAGUAUAAUUUAGUUCUCUUAUAAUAUUACUUUCCGUAUGCUUAUUUGAGACCGUUUAUAAGUUUGUUCGCGAGCUUGCUCAUAAAUUCGAAAAUGAGCUGAAUUCGUGAGUCUUAAAGAGUCUAAUACAAAUGAAUCUGAAAAUUAAGUUCAAUCUUGAUUCAUUUAGAAAUCAAGUUGAGUUUGAUUGAACUUUUUAUCGAAUUGAACUUUCAAUAAUUCACGGACAAUUUAAUCCAUUUACACCACUAAUAGUUAUUUAGGGUCAGAUAUAAUUGCGCUCUAUAAUAGUAGAACUAAAGAGUUGGUUCUAUUAAUUACCACAGAGCCAAUCUAUUAUUGGUCGUUGAUAGAUGCGCAUUGUGGGAGUAACCCUAAUGGAAAAAUUAAUUGAUUGAAAGCUUACUUUGUAGUCAAUAAAUUACCACUAAAAUAUGAGCUUGAUUACAAUAAUAUUUUGACUCAAAUGGCUAAAAUUUUAUCAAUUCGUCUUCUUGUCUCCUUAACAACAUCCACAUCAUUGGCCUCUUUAUUGAAUAGAUAAAAAAAAUUACUUUUUAUACGAAGAACUUAUAAAGAAAGUUCUUAUAAAGCAAUCAUCAGACCAUCAGAGUUUGUUGCUGAGAGGAUCAGGCAUGGUAUGCCAUUUAUGACAAAUACCACACGGGUUAAAAGUAGCCUGUAAGGAUGUUGUUUGGAUAGUUUAGUAAUGGGAUCCAACAGAUUAGGAUGUGUAGGAGUGAAGCCUAAUGUGCCCCUUAUAUGGGUCAUAGGCAAUCCUCCCCCUUGAGCUAGCUUUUGGGGUGAGUUAGGCCUGGCCCAAAUUUAACUUGGUAUCAAAGCCUCCCCAUCCGAUGUUGGGCCUCCCAUAAAUGUGUCACGCACCAGUAAAAUUCUGGGCGUGAGGGGGGUAUGUUGAAUCCCACAUCGGUUGUGGAAAGGGGUAAUGUGCCCCUUAUAUGGGUCAUAUAUAUAUAUAUCAUUAAAUAAAGCAUAAUUCUUGUAUAGAUUGAGUCUAUACGGACAUGUAGUAUAAAUUAUAUGUGAUUUGUUAUAGCUGUCACUACUAUUUUAUAUUACAGUCUGAUGACUGCUGGAUUUCUUCACCCCGACCUAAAGGCCAGGCCCCUGAAAACAGUCCAUAAUCCGAAGGCUUCAAUAUUCCCCUCGAGAGCCAGGUCUAGCCCGCUCAGUCACAGGGCCGGACUCUGCCUAGACUCCUCAAUCAAGCCGGCCCAAACCUCUCGGCCCAAUAAUCAGGCCCUCACCAGGCUCAACUUCAGCCCUACCAUUCAACCCAGCCCAGAAAGAGGAAAAUGACUAACCUGCCCCGCUGAUGGGUCCUUCCGCAUGCGUAUCAGAGGAGAAUUAAUGGUCGUUACGCAUGGAGCAGGCGCCUGACACAUCCGUACAUACAGAGCUGGGCGGCAGAAGACAGCUAGCAUUGUGGCAGAGAGACAGAUAUAUAUAUUACAGUAGAGGCCACGCAAAAGAGGGGGCUCUCUCUUCUUCUUCCUUCUCCUUCCUGGACACCAUUUUUAUUCUUUCUGCAACCCUUGCCUAAAUAUACUACUCUGAGCCAUAAAAUCUGACUUGAGCGUCGGAGGGCCUCCACCGGGGCACCCCCGGUAGGCCCCUGACCAUUCUUUCUUAUUUUACAGGUCCUUUCACCAGGUAAAACAUGGAGAGAUCCAUCAGGGAGCCCAGCAAGAAGGGACCCAGAAGAAAACCAGAUCUAUCAUGGACCAGGAAGAGGAAAAAAUUUAUCACAGUCCAUAUAAAACCGGUGUAGAUAAGUUUUUGCCCUUCAAGGAAAAUUGGUAAAAGAAUAUAAUUAGUAAAUUCUUUCAAUUUUUAGUAUAUGGAAAAUAAUUAUCACCCAUGAUUGAAUUAUUGGACAACAUCAUCAAAGAGAACUCUAGCAAAGUCCUUUCGUAUUUUCAUAUUUUCACUCUGUACCGAAUAAUUUUUGUUUUUUUUUUUUAAAUGAGAAUUGGAGAUUAGGAGAGUAGAACCUAAGCUUGUAAAUGCAGAUUGAAUAGUCUUAUAAUUGAAAUAUCUAAAUAAAAUCAUAAACAAAAUGAAUUUUAACUCAGAUCUUAACAAAUUAAUAUAAUAAUCUCAAUUUGAUCUAGUGUAUCUUUUGAUUUACAGUUUUUUAAGUCAAAUGUCAAUGAUAAAUUUAAAAUUUUAGUAGUUUUUUUCUCGUAACUCUAUUCCUAUUAUUAGAAUCUCUCUUUUACCGAAAAAUUCUUCAUAGUUAUGGAGGAAAAAUUUUUCUUUUUCUUGAAAAACUUAUCAUUUAUUUUAUUUUAUUUAUAAUUUUAAUUAAAUCGGUUGUUCAUAAUUUUUCAAAAAUUUAGAUUUGAAAUAAAAUAUAUUUUUUUUAAUUUUAGGCCAUCAGUAAUUUUUAAGUUCAGUGACUCAUAAUAUUAAAUUUAUAUUUUUUUAAUUCACAACAAUAUUUUAAUUUUUAAGUUCUGUAAAUUCUUGUGGCUCUGUGUGAAUGUGCUUGGAUCAUGAACUAUCAAUAAGAUUCAUCACAAUCAUACCCAAGAUCAAGAUCAAAUAAAUAAGCUGAUCAACUCUGCAAAUAGAAUAUAAACUGUACAUCAUACAAAUAUUUGAAAUAUAAAGAUUACAGGACUAACAUCCACUCCAAAUUUAAUCAUAUAUAUAUGUAAUCAAUGAUACUGAUCAAUGCGAAAGAUGAAGUCAUCACUGUGAGAUCAAACAUCGAAACAUUUAUGGUAUAGUUGUUUAAGGACUGGGAGUUGAUUGAGGAGGUUUUGUGUCCUUGGCAAGGAAUGUGGGCUUUGGUAACUCUGGCAAGUGGGGAAAAGUUGGCAGUUCAGGUUUUGGUAACUCAGGCAAUUCAAGUUUUGGCAAAGUGGGAAUUUCAGGCUUUGGCAACUCAGGCAAUUCAGGUUUUGGCAGUGUGGGAAGUUCAGGCUUAGGGAAGGCUGGGACUUCUGGUAAUGGUGGAAGCUCAACCUUAGGCAGUGAAGGCAAUUCAGGCUUGGGAAGCUCAGAUACCUCAGGCAAUGCUGUUUUUAGAAGGUGUCGUGCAUCUACGGAUUGACAGAGUGAUAAGUGAGAGCAUAAUGAUGAGGGAAGGGGAGCGAUGAUCGGCCAAAAUGCGACAAGAUCAACCACCUGCAAAGUGAAUAGUAAUUAAAAUUUCUGGACAAUUUUGUUUUGCGUGUUGAUGUUCACUUAGUGUUGAGCUUUUAUAGAAGUGGGAAGUGGAGAAUGGAGAACCUUCAAUGGUAAUUUGGUGGGAAAACUUGUGUCCUGUUAGCUCAACUUCCCAUCUAUAAUCCUCCAACAACUGGCAUGACCCAUUAUAGGCUUCCAUACAAAAGUAAUCUUUCCGUCCUUCUACAUGGAUUCAAGAGAUUAGUUGGAGAGAACCACAGCUAAAAGAUUGACAUUAAGCUAAAAUAUGUUGUCAGAAAUCACAACACUUGUCAAGUUCAAGCAUUUUUACAAAUUUAAUAAUUCACCACCACUAAACUUUGACAAAUCUUCCUUUAUUGCAACGCUUAUUGUUAUUGUUGGAAUUUAAUGACUGACCGAUCCAAAUCUCCAUGCGAUGAAAGUGUUGAAUUCCAAUUUAAUAUGAUGGCCUCUUCUAAAAUACUUCUAGACAAUUUAAAUUAAAUUUCAAUUAACUUAUCAUAUUAUAAAGCUUAUUAUUAUCAAUGUCAAGACUACGUUAUGAAAAAUAUCUUUCAUAUUUUUUGUUAUUUGGAAUAAUGAGAAAAAUUAAUCAAUAAAAAUAUUUUCUUGAUUAAAGAAAAAAUUAAAUCAUUUUAAAAAAAUACUGCUUCUUGGCUCUUUCUUUCUCAUCAAUUCUAUUUUCCUGUUGUGCUCUUCCAACAAAUCCAUAGUCACCAACUUGCCCUUUGAAAUUUAAAUUAUUGGACGACAUCAUCAACGAGAAUUCUAGCAAAGUUCUCUAAUAUUUUCUUCAUCAAUGUUGAAUUUUGAGAGGGAAGGGGAAUAAUACAUAUGAAUGCGACUAAAUAGUCUUACAAUUUUAUUGAUUGUAUUGUUAUUUAUACAGUCAAAUAUAAUUAAAAAAUCUAAAUAAAAUUAUAAAUAAUUUAAAUAUUAACUUAAAUAUUAAUAAAUUAAAAUAAUGAUUCAAAUUUAAAUUAUAUGAUUUAGCAUAUUUUUCGGUUUCUAAAUCAAAUAUCCAACGAUCAAUUUAAAAUUUUAGUACUCAUAAGCCCUUGGUAUUAUUAGAAACUCUCUUACUAAAAUUUUUUAAUAAUUAUAAAUAAAAAAGUUUUAUUUUUCUUUCAUAAUAUUAGAAAUAAAACCAUAUCAUUUAUUUUAUUUAAUUUGUAAUCGAAUUAAAUCGGUUGUUCAUGAUUUUUUGAAAAAUUAGAUUUAAAAUAAAAUGGAUAAUUUUUUAAUUUUAGGCCAUCAAUAAUUUUUAAGUUCAGUAAUUCAUAAUACUAAAAUUUUUUAAAAAAAUUCACAACAACAAUUUAAUUUUUAAGUUCAGUAAUAAUUUCUCUUUGUGGCUCUGCAUGAAAGUGCUUGGAUCAUGAACUAUUAAAUAAGAUUGAUCAGUCAUACCCAAAAUCAAAUAAAUAAGCUGGAUCAACUCAGUAUAUAGAAAAUGAACUCACAAGAUACAUCAUUCAAACAACUGAAACAGAAAUAUUAUAGGACUACCACUCACUGCAAAUUAAUCAUGUAUAUGUAAAAGAAGAUAUAAAUGAUACUGAUCAAUGCGAAAGAUGAAGUCAUCACUGUGAGAUCAAAUAUAGAAACACUUAUGGUGUAGUUGUUUAAGGACUGGUGGUUGAUUGAGGAGGUUUUGUGUCCUUAGAAGGCAAUGUGGGCUUUGGCAACUCAGGCAAGUGGGGAAAAGCUGGCAAUUCAGGCUUUGGCAACUCAGGCAAUUCAGGUUUUGGCAGUAUGGGAAGUUCAGGUUUAGGAAAGGUGGAGACUUCAGGUAAUGGUGGAAGCUCAACUUUAGGCAAUGAUGGCAACUCAGGCUUGGGAAGCUCAGGUACCUCAGGCAAUUCUGUCUCCAGAAGGUGUCGUGCAUCUACAGAGAUUGAUAGAGUGAUGAGUGAGAGCAUAAUGAUGAGGGAAGAGCGAAGAUCGGCCAUAAUGCUAU
rnacentral:lncRNA from 1 species